GCCAGUCAACAUUAGCACUCUUGUUUCGACAAUUUCCCAAGCAACUUCUGCUGGGUGGUGAUGUAGGCCGUUGGGAUGAGUUCACUGUGAAGUCUGAUCGAAGUUAUUGAUGCAAAUCAUUGAUUCUUCAGUUUCUUGCAAUUCUGUUUUAGAUAAACACAGCACCUUUGUAGACAUAGCCGAUCAUUAGUUCCCAACCGUGGGGCAUUCCUAUAUAUCCACUCAUGUGGUACUUUAUUUGGUUGUCUGAUUGAAGUUUUCGAUACGAAUCAUCGGUUUUACAGUUUCUUGGAUGCUGUUUGAGUUAGAUACAUUUAUUAUUACUUGUUGUCUCGGACUUUCCAAUAGAACUAACUCGUUUUUUAGCCUUUCCACAUGUUACCUGAAAGCUUGGGGCCAGACUUUACGAACGUUUCCUUUUCUCCUUUCUACAGGUUGACGUAAUCUGAAGUUUAGGGACUUGAGGAUGCAUCAUUGUAGACUGACUACUUGAAUGCGUGUAAUGAGUGGGCGUGUUUGCUUGCUUUGUUAAUGGAAUUUCGUCCAUGAAAUGAACAGAUAUGGAUAUAUAUGUUUGCUUCGUCUUUUGCUGGUUCCUUAGAAUUUUCGUGUGCGUGAAUUUAAAGAGGUAACAAUGGUACAAUGUGUGCAUGUGUAUCUUGCCAAUUCUCGUCAUUCAUUUGUCUCAUUUAUGGCUGAAGCUUGAACUUUGUCUACGUGGCCUUGCAGCUUUCUUGGGUCAACCUAUCAAGGACUUCGAUAUUAGCGUAAUAAAGCACCGGUGUUGUGUACGGAGACCUGAGCACUUCGCCUCUUCCUGACUAUACUAGCACAUUUGCUGUGGAUUGCACAUCAAGGGAAAACAGACACUUAUCGAACAGGGAAAGAGAACAUAUACCCACCUAUCCAUGUGAGAAAUUCCAUGAGAAAUUCGAGAACCAACGAAUCAUGGAAAUGUUUCCACCAAAGUCAAGAUCUUAGCAAGAAAGCCUGCAGUAGCAUGUCCCUUCGUCUCUACAAUGAGGAGAAAUCUCACGUCCAGGGUCCCCCUUCAGCAACUUCUCCUAGACUCGAUAUCGGUGAGGCGACGGUGAAGGAAGGGUAUAUAGACCUUUCCAUAGGUCAACGGGCCGUUGGGACAAACUUCACCAUUGGAAUUCCAAUGUAAUCUGCAAGGCAAGCCAGAUCGAGAGAACCUUGGCGGAUGAGACAGAGCACAGCAAUAACAAAAGAAUUGGAUGAGGGAAUGCAACAAUCUGCUAGAAUGCAAAACUAAGCUGAGAAAUCCAAAUUCAAACGCGACAGUUCAUUAAUGACAUCCCGGAUUUAUUGACAUAUUUGCUGGUUUGUGGAAAUCAGCAAUUCAUUAAUGACGUGAUAUGCUGGAUGGGUAGCAAUGUAGGCUGUUGGGAUGAAUUCACUGUGAAGUCUGAUUGAAGUUAUUGAUGCAAAUCAUUGAUUCUUCAGAUUCUUGCAAUUCUGUUAUUGAUGCAAAUC